GAUGAACGCUAGCGGCAGGCUUAAUACAUGCAAGUCGAGGGGCAGCGCAGUGUAGCAAUGCAUAGGCGGCGACCGGCAAACGGGUGCGGAACACGUACAGAACCUUCCUUCGAGCGGGGAAUAGCCCAGAGAAAUUUGGAUUAAUACCCCAUAGUAUAGUGGAGAGGCAUCUCUUUACUAUUAAAGAUUUAUCACUUGAAGAUGGCUGUGCGGCNGAUUAGGUAGUUGGCGGGGUAACGGCCCACCAAGCCUGCGAUCAGUAACUGGUGUGAGAGCACGACCAGUCACACGGGCACUGAGACACGGGCCCGACUCCUACGGGAGGCAGCAGUAAGGAAUAUUGGUCAAUGGACGAAAGUCUGAACCAGCCAUGCCGCGUGGAGGAUGAAGGUCCUC
rnacentral:rRNA from 1 species